GUGAGCCACUGCACCCGGCCAGUCUUCUCUACUUUUCAAAACAGCAUCUGCCUUCUCUGUUCUCCCUGUUUUGGGCGGCUGCUGCUCUCCUGAGGAUCCACCCUGCAUAUUAUGGGUUGUUGUUUUCCAUAGUUCUUCUCUCCCCAGACUGUGAGCUUUGGAGGGGGCGGACAGAAGGAACCCCUCCUGGACGAUGCUCCGUGUUCUUCUCCCUCCCACUUGCUGGAUGUUGUGUAGGAACAAAUUUAUGGAGGAUCUUCCAUGGCGUCAAUGAUGGAGCUUCAUUGGGAGGUGAUAGACCACAAAUAAAAGAAAACCGCAGAUGCACCGUGCAUGGAGAGAGACGGAGAGGAACGCUGUCUGCCUGCCGCCGCCGCCUCAUGUUUGAAGGCUGCUAAGCCCGAUGGAAAAACCAAAGUCACCCAGUGAGUCAAGGAUGAAAACCGAGGUCGUCUGUCUGACUUCCAGCCCGGAGAUCUGUCCCUUUUUGCUGAUCUUUGACCACCGAAAUGUAUGUGCUAAUAAUUUAGAAAGAAGUGCUUAGGUCCUGAUUUGGGAAUAACAUAGCUUGAAUUUAUUCAUUGAUGUGUGUAUA